ensembl:lncRNA
GCCCGUCACACACGGUGUCUCCAGGAGAUGCGGGUUUGCCAGAUGCCAGCGGGGUGACCGGGGACACGGUGUCUGUGCUGAGCUGUCCUUCCCCACUGAGGGAUGCUCCUGGUGAUGCAGAUCUCCACUGCUCUCCUCCUUGGCUCUUCCGUGGGAGAAAAGUGAGGAGCAAAUCACACCCUGGAGAAUUCAGGGAACACGUGCCAGCUCUGGCUGUACAGCCACAGACUGGGGGACACUGGAAAUCCCAAACAUCCAGGGUGGCCAAGCCCCUGAUGGCUGCAGAGAGCUGAGAAUCAAAUUCCCGGGUGCAUCCCAGGGUCCCUGUGAAUCUGCUUUAGGAUGAGUGAGGAGCCCACCACAAAGCCAGUGCCCAAGAGACUCCUGUGACCAGGGCAGACCGUGUCCCCAGGGCUGGCAGAGAGGGGUGUUUGUGGGGUGUCUGACCAUUCUGCUUCCCUCCAGGUCCAGGGGCCGUGCCCGGAGUCGGAGGUGUCCCUGGCUUGGUUCCUGGCGUUGGAGGUGUCCCCGGGGCGGUGCCUGGUGUCGGAGGUGUCCCCGGGGUGGCAGGUGACUGUUCCAGGAGCCCUGUCCCCAUGGCCUGGCUCUGUGGGGCCAUGGUGGCUGAGGGUCCCUGUCUCUCUUGUCCCCAGGAGUGCCAUCGGCAGCAGCAGCAGCAAAGGCAGCUAAGUAUGGCGCCGCCGUUCCCGGUGUCGGUGUGGGCGGUGUCCCCGGCCUGGUGCCCGGAGUCGGAGGUGUCCCUGGCUUGGUUCCUGGCGUUGGAGGUGUCCCCGGGGCGGUGCCUGGUGUCGGAGGUGUCCCUGGGGUGGCAGGAGUGCCAUCGGCAGCAGCAGCAGCAAAGGCAGCUAAGUAUGGUACGUGCUGUGUGGGACCCCAGCCCUGGGACCCCUGCCCACCCUGACACACUGGGGGGGCACGGGGUGUCCCUGGAUCACUCCUGAGGGGGAAUGGGGAAUGCUCAGCCCAGCUCCUGUUUGCUCCCAGCUGGGCCUGGCUCCAUCUCCAGGGCAGGACCUUCUCCCCCUCUGGGGUUUCUCCAGGCUGUCUUGUGGAAGUGAGCAUUGAGCCCCAAUUCAUGGCUUUGGACUCAUCUGAGUUCUCUGCUGGGGUCUCUCCUGGAUGAGGCCGUGGAUGCUCUGCUCUCCUGGGAACAUGAUGAGACAGAGCCCUGGCAGGUCCCACCUUUGAGCUCCUGCUGCAGCCAGCUCUGAUUUGUCCCCUCUUGUUCCCGGCAGGCGCCGCCGUUCCCGGUGNNNNNNNNNNNNNNNNNNNNCUGAGGGUCCCUGUCUCGCUUGUCCCCAGGAGUGCCAUCAGCAGCAGCAGCAGCAAAGGCAGCUAAGUAUGGUACGUGCUGUGUCCCAGCCCUGGGACCCCUGCCCACCCUGACACACUGGGGGGCACUGGGUCACUCCUGAGGGGGAAUGGGGAAUGCUCAGCCCAGCUCCUGCCUCUCCCAGCUGGGCCUGGCUCCAUCUGCAGGGCAGGACCUUCUCCCUCUCUGGGGUUUCUCCAGGCUAUCUUGUGGAAGUGAGUGAUGAGCCCCAACUGAUGUCUUUAGAUUUAACUGGAUUCAUGGAUUUUGUAUCAAAUCCAUUUCUGGCAGCUGAUCUGUUGCAGGAUCUGGUUCCCAAGGACUCGAUGCUGCUGCCAUUAGGGCAGAGAUUCCUGGCAGAGGGGCCCUGCCCAGGGUCGCCAUCCUCCAAAAACUUGCUGGGCAUUGAACCCCAAUUCAUGGCUUUGGACUCAUCUGAGUUCUCUGCUGGGGUCUCUCCUGGAUGAGGCCAUGGAUGCUCUGCUCUCCUGGGCACAAUGACGAGACAGAGCCCUGGAAGGUCCCACCUUUGAGCUCCUGCUGCAGCCAGCUCUGAUUUGUCCCCUCUUGUUCCCGGCAGGCGCCGCCGUUCCCGGUGUCGGUGUGGGCGGUGUCCCCGGCCUGGUGCC